rnacentral:lncRNA from 1 species
AUUGAUGGAUUUCCAUAUAUUAAACCAUCCCUGCAUCCCUGGGAUGAAACCUACUUGGUCAGAAUGGAUGAUUGUUUUGAUGUGUUCUUGGAUUCAGUUAGCGAGAAUUUUAUUGAGUAUUUUUGCAUCGAUAUUCAUAAUUGGUCUGAAGUUCUCUAUCUUUGUUAGGUCUUUCUGUGGUUUAGGUAUCAGAGUAAUUGUGACUUCAUAGAAUAAAUUGGGUAGAGUACCUUCUGCUUUUAUUUUGUGGAAUAGUUUGUGAAGAACUAGAAUUAGAUCUUCUUUGAAGGUCUAAUAGAACUCUGCACUAAACCCAUCUGGUCCUGGGCUUUUUUUUUUUUUUUUGGUUGGGAGACUAUUAAUGUCUCCUUCUAUUUCUUUAGAGGAUAUAGGACUGUUUAGAUCAUUAACCUGAUCCUGAUUUAACUUUGUUACCUGGUAUCUGUCUAGAAAUUUGUCCAUUUCAUCCAGGUUUUUCAGUUUUGUUGAGUAUAGCCUUUUUUAGAAGGAUCUGAUGGUGUUUUGGAUUUCUUCAGGAUCUGUUGUUAUGUCUCCCUUUUCAUUUCUGAUUUUGUUAUUUAGGAUGCUGUCCCUGUGCCCUUUAGUGAGUCGCGCUAAGGAUUUAUCUAUCUUGUUGAUUUUCUCAAAGAACCAGCUCCUCGUUUGGUUGAUUCUUUGAAUAGUUCUUGUUUCCACUUGUUUGAUUUCGCCCUGAGUUUGAUUAUUUCCUGCAGUCUACUCCUCUUUGGUGAAUUUGCUUCCUUUUGUUCUAGAGCUUUUAGGUGUGUUGUCAAGCUGCUAGUGUGUGCUCUCUCUCGUUUCUUUUUGGAGGCACUUAGAGCUAUGAGUUUUCCUCUUAGAAAUGCUUUCAUUGUGUCCCAUAAGUUUGGGUAUGUUGUGGCUUCAUUUUCAUUAAAUUCUAAAAAGCCUUUAAUUUCUUUCUUUAUUCCUUCCUUGACCAAGGUAUCAUUGAGAAGAGCCACGUGAAUGUUGGCUUUCUAUUAUUUAUGUUGUUAUUGAAGAUCUGCCUUAGUCCAUGGUGAUCUGAUAGGAUGCAUGAGACAAUUUCAAUAUUUUUGUAUCUAUUGAGGCCUGUUUUGUGACCAAUUAUAUGGUCAAUUUUGGAGAAGGUACCAUGAGGUGCUGAGAAGAAGGUAUAUCCUUUUGUUUUAGGAUAAAAUGUUCUGUAGAUAUCUGUUAAAUCCAUUUGUUUCAUCACUUCUGUUAGUUUCACUGUGUCCCUGUUUAGUUUCUGUUUCUGCGAUCUGUCCAUUGAUGAAAGUGGUGUGUUGAAGUCUCCCACUUUUAUUGUGUGAGGUGCAAUGUGUGCUUUGAGCUUUAUUAAAGUGUCUUUAAUGAAUGUGGCUGCCCUUGCAUCUGGAGCAUAGAUAUUCAAAUUGAGAAUUCCUCUUAGAAGAUUUUACCUUUGAUGAGUAUGAAGUGUCCUUCCUUGUCUUUUUUGAUAACUUUGGGUUGGAAGUCGAUUUUAUUCGAUAUUAGAAUGGCUACUCCAGCUUGUUUCUUCAGACCAUUUGCUUGGAAAAUUGUUUUUCAGCCUUUCACUCUGAGGUAGUGUCUGUCUUUUCCCCUGAGAUGGGUUUCCUGUAAGCAGCAGAAUAUUGGGUCCUGUUUGUGUAGCCAGUCUGUUAGUCUAUGUCUUUUUAUUGGGGAAUUGAGUCCAUUGAUAUUAAGAGAUAUUAAGGAAAAGUAAUUGUUGCUUCCUAUUAUUUUUGUUGUUAGAGUUGGCAUUCUGUUCUUGUGGCUGUCUCCUUUUAGGUUUGUUGAAGGAUUACUUUCUUGCUUUUUCUAGGACGUGGUUUCCGUCCUUAUAUUGGUUUUUUCCCUGUUAUUAUCCUUUGAAGGGCUGGAUUCAUGGAAAGAUAAUGUGUGAAUUUGGUUUUGACAUAGAAUACUUUGGUUUCUCCGUCUAUUGUAAUUGAAAGUCGGGCUUGUUAUAGUAGCCUGGGCUGGCAUUUGUGAUCUCUUAGUGUCUGUAUAACAUCUGUCCAGACUCUUCUGGCUUUCAUAGUAUCUGGUGAAAAAUCUGGUGUAAUUCUGAUAGGCCUUCCUUUAUAUGUUACUUGACCUUUUCCCCUUACUGCUUUUAAUAUUCUAUCUUUAUUUAGUGCAUUUGCUGUUCUGAUUAUCAUGUGUCGGGAGGAAUUUCUUUUCUGGUCCAGUCUAUUUGGAGUUCUGUAGGCUUCUUGUAUGUUCAUGGGCAUCUCUUUCUUUGGGUUUGGGAAGUUUUCUUCUAUAAUUUUGUUGAAGAUAUUUGCUGGCCCUUUAAGUUGGAAAUCUUCACUUUCUUCUAUACCUAUUGUCCUUAGGUUUGGUCUUCUCAUUGUGUCCUGGAUUUCCUGGAUGUUUUGAGUUAGGAGCUUUUUGCAUUUUGCAUUUUCUUUGAUUGUUGUGCCGAUGUUCUCUAUGGAAUCUUCUGCACCUGAGAUUCUCUCUUCCAUUUCUUGUAUUCUUUUGCUGAUGCUCGCAUCUAUGGUUCCAGAUUUCUUUCCUAGGGUUUCUAUCUCCAGUGUUGCCUCACUUUGGGUUUUCUUUAUUGUGUCUACUUCCCUUUUUAGGUCUAGUAUGGUUUUGUUCCUUUCUAUCACCUGUUUGGAUGUGUUUUCCUGUUUUUCUUUAAGGACUUCUUCCUGUUUGGUUGUAUUUUCCUGUUUUUCUUUAAGGACUUGAAACUCUUUAGCAGUGUUCUCCUGUAUUUCUUUAAGUGAGUUAUUAAAAUCCUUCUUGAUGUCCUCUACCAUCAUCAUGAAAUAUGCUUUUAAAUCCGGGUGUAGCUUUUCAGGUGUGCCCAGGACUGGCUGAGAUGGGAGUGCUGGAUUCUGAUGAUGGUGAGUAGUCUUGGUUUCUGUUAGUAAGAUUCUUACGUUUGCCUUUCGCCAUCUGGUAAUCUCUGGAGUUAGUUAUAGUUGUCUCUGGUUAGUACUUGUUCCUCUUGUGAUUCUGUUAGCCUCUAUCAGCAGAACUGGGUGACUAGCUCUCUCCUGAGUUUCAGUCGUUAGAGCACUCUCUGCAGGCAAGCUCUCCUUUUUCAGGGAAGGUAGACAGAUAUCUGGUGUUAGGACCUGCCUCCUGGCAGAAGAUGAAGGCCUGAAACAGGGCUUGUCCCAGAAUCUGUGUAGCUUCUGUAGUCCACACUCUCACCUGUGCAGACUAGUCUUGGUGGGAUCCGGGAACCAAGAUGGAUCCCCCAGGUGCUGUGGCCCCUUCUUUUCUUCUUUUCCUUUUCUUUCUUUCUUUCAUUUCUUUUUUUUUUUUUUAAAGAAGGGGUCUCAUGUAGCCCUGGCUGGCCUCAUGCUUAUGUAGGUCACGCUGACCUUGAACUCAGAGAUUCGCCUGUCUCUGCCUCAUGAGUGCUGGGAUUAAAGGUGUACUGGCAUUAAAGGUGUGUAGUAUCAUACUUGGAAAAUAAUUCUUUUUUGUUUGUUUUAUGUAUAUGUCUGUGCAUGUGCAUUAGAGUACCUAAGGAAGCCAGAAGAGUGUUGGCUCAUCAGAGGCCAUUGUGAGUGCCCAGUGAGGAUUCUGAGAACUGAAUUUAGGGCUUCUGAAAGAAUCUUAAGUGUUCUGCACCUCUCUUCUCUCUCUCCAGCUUCAAAAUCUAUAAUUUCUUACACUGGUUUUUGAGUACUUGGCAGGUACCAGUUACAUGAAACCACAAAGUAAUCAUGGUAAACAUUUGCUGUGUGUCUGUUUCUCCCUUUUCCUCUCCAUUCCUUUUAUCCUAAAUUAGUGGUAGUGGUGGAAAAAAAUGAUAAUUUUCAGAUAAACAUAUAGGAUAAAGUUGAUUUAGAACUCUAAGCAGAGACUUCAAAGGAAGUUUGAGCCUGCAGUAACCAUGACUCCAGCUCCUCAGUUGUCUGUCCUGUACCUCUGAAGACCACCUAGCCAGGGUUUUGUUUCCCUGUAUACUUUCCCAGUAAAGAAAGAGAUGACAAUUCUUGUGUUUAUAUGGCUUGGUAAUAGAGAGGGAGUGAUCAGGACUGUAUUUUACCUUGUCUUCUAACUGAAUUCAUUAUUACACUUACUAUUUUUUUGAUAUAUAAUUAUAGUUUUAUUCUAAAACUUUAAAUUUCUUUAGAAGAUACUUUUCUGUGGUUUCUGUUUCUCUGUUGGCUAUCCUUGGCUGAAGAGAAUGGUAGACUUAUCCCACACUUAAACUUUAUGAAUUACCUUUGCUAUCCAUUGAUUAGUAGUCUCUAGAGUUAAAACAAGAGAAAGAACUCAUUUAAAAUUUAGUCUGCUUUAUUGAGAAAGAUUAAAUGGAUGUGAAUUUUCUUAAAGGUAAAGCAGAAGUAUUCUGUUCUUGUGUACUUAGGUUUUGAUGUUGAGGCCCAUCUGUAUGUUCUGAUAGGACAGCUGUGUGUUUCAGGGACUUAGAAGAGGGACUGUCAAAGGACAGGAAUUGUACUGUGCAACUGAAGGGACUCCAUCAUGUACCAUCUUGUUAAUGGUUUCGGCUUUAUUGUUCAAACAUUAGUAACUUUGGUGGUAAUGGGAUUUGAAUUUUGUAUUUUUGAGUUUGUGUCAAUGAUUAAACCCAGCGCCUUACAUGUGCUAAGCAUGACUCUUACUAGUGAACCAUGUUCUACCCUGAUAGUUUGUUUUGAUUAGAUAAAAUGCAGAAAAGAGUGUUUCAGAAACGUUCUGUUGUUUUACUUAUUAUAAAAGUAGACUUAGAGGAGCUGGAGACAUGGCUCAGUGGUUAAGAGGUGUUCUUACUGAAAACUCGAGUUCCGUUCUAGCACCCACCAUCAAGUGUGUAGCACGUACACACUUAGACUUCCCUAUAACUCUACCUCGGAGGGGUCCAAUACCCUCUUCUUGCUUCCUCAGGCACACUCACACACGAGGCACACACUCACACAGAUACCCACGAAUAC